rnacentral:rRNA from 1 species
GGUUCGAUUCUGGCUCAGAUUGAACGCUGGCGGGAUGCUUUACACAUGCAAGUCGAACGGCAGCACGGACUUCGGUCUGGUGGCGAGUGCACGGCGAACGGGUGAGUAAUGUAUCGGAACGUGCCUAGUAGCGGGGGAUAACUACGCGAAAGCGUAGCUAAUACCGCAUACGCCCUUCGGGGGAAAGCGGGGGACUGGGCCUCGCACUAUUAGAGCGGCCGAUAUCGGAUUAGCUAGUUGGUGGGGUAACGGCUCACCAAGGCGACGAUCCGUAGCUGGUUUGAGAGGACGACCAGCCACACUGGGACUGGUGACACGGCCCAGACUCCUACGGAGGCAGGCAGUGGGGAAUUUUGGACAAUGGGGGAAUCCCGCGAUCCAGCCAUCCCGCGUGUGCGAUGAAGGCCUUCGGGUUGUAAAGCACUUUUGGCAGGAAACGCGGCACGGAUAAUACCCCGUGCAACUGACGGCACCUGCAGAAUAAGCACCGGUUGUAACUACGUGCCAGCAGCCAGUAAUACGGUGGGUGCAAGCGUUGGAUCGAAUUACUGGGCGUAAAGCGUGCGCAGGCGGUUCGGAAAGAAAGAUGUGAAAUCCCAGAGCUUAACUUUGGAACUGCAUUUUUAACUACCGAGCUAGAGUGUGUCAGAGGGAGGUGGAAUUCCGCGUGUAGCAGUGAAAUGGCAGAUAUGCGGAGGAACACCGAUGGCGAAGGCAGCCUCCUGGGAUAACACUGACGCUCAUGCAUCAAUGAAAGCGUGGGGAGCAAACAGGAUUAGAUACCCUGGUAGUCCACGCCCUAAACGAUGUCAACUAGCUGUUGGGGCCUUCGGGCCUUGGUAGCGCAGCUAACGCGUGAAGUUGACCUGCCUGGGGAGUACGGUCGCAAGAUUAAACUCAAAGGAAUUGACGGGACCGCACAAGCGGUGGAUGAUGUGGAUUAAUUCGAUGCAACGCGAAAAACCUUACCUACCCUUGACAUGUCUGGAAUCCCGAAGAGAUUUGGGAGUGCUCGCAAGAGAAUCCGAACACAGGUGCUGCAUGGCUGUCGUCAGCUCGUGUCGUGAGAUGUUGCUAGUCCGUAACGAGCGCAACCCUUGUCAUUAGUUGCUACGAAAGGGCACUCUAAUGAGACUGCCGGUGACAAACCGGAGGGGAAGGUGGGGAUGACGUCAUGUUCCCAGUGGCCCUUAUGGGUAGGGCUUCACACGUCAUACAAUGGUCGGGACAGAGGGUCGCCAACCCAGGCGAGGGGAGCCAAUCCCAGAAACCCGAUCGUAGUCCGGAUCGGUAGUCUGCAACCUGACUGUGUGAAGUCGGACCAUAGUAAUCGCGGAUCAGCAUGUCGCGGUGAAUACGUUCCUGGUCUUGUACACACCGCCCGUCACACCAUGGGGGAGUGGGUUUUACUCAGAAGUAGUUAGCUCAACCGUAAGGAGGGCGAUUACCACGGUAGGAUUCAUGACUGGGGUGAAGUCGUAACAAGGUGUG